AUUGAACGCUGGCGGCAGGCUUAACACAUGCAAGUCGAGCGAGCGGCGGACGGGUGAGUAAUGUCUGGGAAACUGCCUGAUGGAGGGGGAUAACUACUGGAAACGGUAGCUAAUACCGCAUACCAUCAGAUGUGCCCAGAUGGGAUUAGCUAGUAGGUGGGGUAAUGGCUCACCUAGGCGACGAUCCCUAGCUGGUCUGAGAGGAAGACCAGCCACACGGGAACUGAGACAAGGUCCGGACUCCUCAGGGGGGAAGGAGGGGGGAAUAGUGCACAAUGGGCGCAAGCCUGAUGCAGCCAUGCGGCGGGUGUGAAGAAGGCCUGCGGGUUGUAAAGCACUGUCAGCGGGGAGGCGUUACUCGCAGAAGAAGCACCGGCUAACUCCGUGCCAGCAGCCGCGGUAAUAC
rnacentral:rRNA from 1 species